rnacentral:rRNA from 1 species
GAUCUGUCCGUUGGUCGGGCUUCACUGUCUAUACUGAUGUGAUGGGUUCUUACCUUCUGAAUAAUAACCAGCACGCUAUUCACUUGGUGCGCUGGACUAUUUAUUACCUUGAGUGCUCAAAGCAGGCAGGCUACAUUAGCAUGGAAUAAUAAAAUAGUACAGCAUGGUUCUAUUUUGUUGGUUUCUAGGAUCACCGUAAUGAUUAAUAGGGAUAGUUGGG